rnacentral:RNase_P_RNA from 1 species
GAAGCCCGCCAGGCCGCCGCUGGUGCAAGUUGGGAAACCACGCACUGGAGGAACGUCCGGACUGCACAGGGCAGCGCAGCAGCUAACGGCUGUCCACCGUGAGGUGAGGAUCAGAGCAACAGAGACGAGCCGCUUGAGUGCGGGUGAAACGGGCAAUCUCUGCGCGCAGCAACACCAAGUAGGCCAGCGUUGACUUGACCCGAGGAGCUGGCGGGUAGGUGGCACCGAGCCGGGUGGGCGACCCCCGGCCCAGAUUGAUGGCGGUCACGCUCCGGGCAACCGGGGCGCACAGAAUCCGGCGUAUCGGCGGGCUUCACAC